AACGAACGCUGGCAGCAUGCCUAACACAUGCAAGUCGAACGAGACCUUCGGGUCUAGUGGCGCACGGGUGCGUAACGCGUGGGGACCUGCCCUUAGGUUCGGAAUAACUCCCCGAAAGGGGUGCUAAUACCGGAUAAUGUCUUCGGACCAAAGAUUUAUCGCCUUUGGAUGGGCCCGCGUUGGAUUAGCUAGUUGGUAGGGUAAAAGCCUACCAAGGCGACGAUCCAUAGCUGGUCUGAGAGGAUGAUCAGCCACACUGGGACUGAGACACGGCCCAGACUCCUACGGGAGGCAGCAGUGGGGAAUAUUGGACAAUGGGCGAAAGCCUGAUCCAGCAAUGCCGCGUGAGUGAUGAAGGCCUUAGGGUUGUAAAGCUCUUUUACCCGGGAUGAUAAUGACAGUACCGGGAGAAUAAGCUCCGGCUAACUCCGUG
rnacentral:rRNA from 1 species